rnacentral:rRNA from 1 species
AUACGGAAGGUCCGGGCGUUAUCCGGAUUUAUUGGGUUUAAAGGGUGCGCAGGCGGCCAUUUAAGUCAGCGGUUAAAUCGUGGGGCUCAACCCCAUUCUGCCGUUGAUACUGGGUGGCUUGAUUGCGGUCGAGGUUGGCGGAAUUCGUUGUGUAGCGGUGAAAUGCAUAGAUAUGACGAAGAACACCGAUUGCGUAGGCAGCUGACCAGACCGCAAAUGACGCUCAUGCACGAAAGUGCGGGGAUCGAACAGGAUUAGAUACCCUGGUAGUCCGCACAGUAAACGAUGAAUACUUGUUUUCGGCGAUAUAAUGUCGGAGGCAAAGCGAAAGCGAUAAGUAUUCCACCUGGGGAGUACGCCGGCAACGGUGAAACUUAAAGGAAUUGACGGGG